rnacentral:sRNA from 1 species
CUGUUCAGUGCUGCUCAGCUGACGGCUGAAUGUGCCAUCGUCACCCUGGUGUACCUUGAAAGACUUUUAACAUACGCAGAGAUAGAUAUCUGUCCGGCCAACUGGAAGCGGAUUGUUUUAGGGGCGAUCCUGCUGGCCUCCAAGGUGUGGGAUGACCAGGCUGUAUGGAAUGUGGAUUACUGCCAGAUCCUGAAAGACAUCACGGUGGAGGACAUGAACGAGCUAGAGCGACAGUUUCUUGAAUUGCUGCAGUUCAACAUCAAUGUUCCUUCCAGUGUCUAUGCCAAGUAUUAUUUUGAUCUUCGUUCUCUGGCAGAAGCGAACAACCUGAGCUUUCCCUUGGAGCCCCUGAGCAGGGAGAGGGCUCACAAGCUUGAGGUAAGAUGCUUUAAAAAAGCGUUUUGUGGUGCAGUGUUGCCAAUACAUCAUUUGAGGACCAGGAAUGCAUGUGGUCACAUUGAUCAUUUCCCCCACUACA